UCCACUUGCUUGUGUCUAGUCGUUUCUGGU
rnacentral:piRNA from 1 species